rnacentral:rRNA from 1 species
UAGGGAAUAUUGGACAAUGGGGGCAACCCUGAUCCAGCCAUGCCGCGUGAGUGAAGAAGGCCCUCGGGUUGUAAGGCUCUUUUGUCCGGAAAGAAAAGCAUUCGGUGAAUACCCGGAUGUUCUGACGGUACCGGAAGAAUAAGCACCGGCUAACUUCGUGCCAGCAGCCGCGGUAAUACGAAGGGUGCAAGCGUUACUCGGAAUUACUGGGCGUAAAGCGUGCGUAGGUGGUUGUUUAAGUCUGAUGUGAAAGCCCUGGGCUCAACCUGGGAAUGGCAUUGGAAACUGGGCAGCUAGAGUGCGGUAGAGGGUGGUGGAAUUCCCGGUGUAGCAGUGAAAUGCGUAGAGAUCGGGAGGAACAUCUGUGGCGAAGGCGACUGCCUGGACCAGCACUGACACUGAGGCACGAAAGCGUGGGGAGCAAACA